UGGGGAAUUUUGGACAAUGGGCGCAAGCCUGAUCCAGCCAUGCCGCGUGCGGGAAGAAGGCCUUCGGGUUGUAAACCGCUUUUGUCGGGGAAGAAAUCCUGUGGACGAAUACUCUGCGGGGAUGACGGUACCCGAAGAAUAAGCACCGGCUAACUACGUGCCAGCAGCCGCGGUAAUACGUAGGGUGCAAGCGUUAAUCGGAAUUACUGGGCGUAAAGCGUGCGCAGGCGGUUGUGCAAGACAGAUGUGAAAUCCCCGGGCUCAACCUGGGAACUGCAUUUGUGACUGCACGGCUGGAGUGCGGCAGAGGGGGAUGGAAUUCCGCGUGUAGCAGUGAAAUGCGUAGAUAUGCGGAGGAACACCGAUGGCGAAGGCAAUCCCCUGGGCCUGCACUGACGCUCAUGCACGAAAGCGU
rnacentral:rRNA from 1 species